UACGUAGGGCGCAAGCGUUGUCCGGAAUUAUUGGGCGUAAAGAGCUCGUAGGCGGCCUGUUGCGUCCGCUGUGAAAGCCCGGGCUUAACCCCGGGUCGGCAGUGGAUACGGGCAGGCUAGAGGUAGGUAGGGGAGAAUGGAAUUCCCGGUGUAGCGGUGAAAUGCGCAGAUAUCGGGAGGAACACCGGUGGCGAAGGCGGUUCUCUGGGCCUUACCUGACGCUGAGGAGCGAAAGCGUGGGGAGCGAACAGG
rnacentral:rRNA from 1 species